rnacentral:rRNA from 1 species
AACGGUAGCUAAUACCGCAUAANGUCGCAAGACCAAAGAGGGGGACCUUCGGGCCUCUUGCCAUCGGAUGUGCCCAGAUGGGAUUAGCUAGUAGGUGGGGUAACGGCUCACCUAGGCGACGAUCCCUAGCUGGUCUGAGAGGAUGACCAGCCACACUGGAACUGAGACACGGUCCAGACUCCUACGGGAGGCAGCAGUGGGGAAUAUUGCACAAUGGGCGCAAGCCUGAUGCAGCCAUGCCGCGUGUAUGAAGAAGGCCUUCGGGUUGUAAAGUACUUUCAGCGGGGAGGAAGGCGAUAAGGUUAAUAACCUUGUCGAUUGACGUUACCCGCAGAAGAAGCACCGGCUAACUCCGUGCCAGCAGCCGCGGUAAUACGGAGGGUGCAAGCGUUAAUCGGAAUUACUGGGCGUAAAGCGCACGCAGGCGGUCUGUCAAGUCGGAUGUGAAAUCCCCGGGCUCAACCUGGGAACUGCAUUCGAAACUGGCAGGCUANAGUCUUGUACAGGGGGGUANAAUU